rnacentral:misc_RNA from 1 species
GAAAUGCGAUAAGUAAUGUGAAUUGCAGAAUUCAGUGAAUCAUCGAAUCUUUGAACGCACAUUGCGCCCGCCAGUAUUCUGGCGGGCAUGCCUGUUCGAGCGUCAUUUCAACCAUCAAGCCCCCGGCUUGUGUUGGGGACCUGCGGCUGCCCGCAGGCCCUGAAAAACAGUGGCGGGCUCGCUGUCACACCGAGCGUAGUAGCAUACAUUCUCGCUCAGGGCGUGCUGCGGGUUCCGGCCGUUAAACGACCUUCAUAACCCAAGGUUGACCCCGGAUCAGGUAGGAAGACCCGCUGAACUUAAGC